ACGGGAGGCAGCAGUGGGGAAUAUUGGGCAAUGGGCGCAAGCCUGACCCAGCAACGCCGCGUGAAGGAAGAAGGCUUUCGGGUUGUAAACUUCUUUGACAGGGGAAGAGCAGAAGACGGUACCCUGAAAACAAGCCACGGCUAACUACGUGCCAGCAGCCGCGGUAAUACGUAGGUGGCAAGCGUUGUCCGGAUUUACUGGGUGUAAAGGGCGUGUAGCCGGGAGAGCAAGUCAGAUGUGAAAUCCAUGGGCUCAACUCAUGAACUGCAUUUGAAACUGUUCUUCUUGAGUGCUGGAGGGGCAAUCGGAAUUCCUAGUGUAGCGGUGAAAUGCGUAGAUAUUAGGAGGAACACCAGUGGCGAAGGCGGAUUGCUGGACAGUAACUGACGGUGAGGCGCGAAAGUGUGGGGAGCAAACAGGAUUAGAUACCCUGGUA
rnacentral:rRNA from 1 species